CGCGUAGGUGGUUUGAUAAGCGAGAUGUGAAAGCCCCGGGCUUAACCUGGGAACGGCAUUUCGAACUGUCAGGCUAGAGUGUGGUAGAGGGUAGUGGAAUUUCCUGUGUAGCGGUGAAAUGCGUAGAUAUAGGAAGGAACACCAGUGGCGAAGGCGACUACCUGGACCAACACUGACACUGAGGUGCGAAAGCGGGGGGAGCAAACA
rnacentral:rRNA from 1 species